rnacentral:rRNA from 3 species
UGCAUCGAUGAAGAACGCAGCGAAAUGCGAUAAGUAAUGCGAAUUGCAGAAUUCAGUGAGUCAUCGAAUCUUUGAACGCACAUUGCGCCCUGUGGUAUUCCGCAGGGCAUGCCUGUUCGAGCGUCAUUUCAACCCUCAAGCUUUGCUUGGUGUUGGGCCCUGCCCGCGCGGCCGGCCCCAAAGACAGUGGCGGCGCCGUCUGGCUCUAAGCGUAGUACAACUCUCGCUCUAGGGUCCGGCGGUGUCUCGCCAGAACCCCCAACUUCUAUGGUUGACCUCGGAUCAGGUAGGGAUACCCGCUGAACUUAAGCAUAUCAAUAAGCGGAGGAA